rnacentral:rRNA from 1 species
UACGUAGGGGGCAAGCGUUGUCCGGAAUCAUUGGGCGUAAAGAGCGUGUAGGCGGCUCGGUAAGUCCGCUGUGAAAGUCCAGGGCUCAACCCUGGAAUGCCGGUGGAAACUGUCGAGCUAGAGUCCGGAAGAGGCGAGUGGAAUUCCUGGUGUAGCGGUGAAAUGCGCAGAUAUCAGGAGGAACACCAAUGGCGAAAGCGGCUCACUGGACCAUAACUGACGCUGGAUGCACGAAAGCUAGGGGAGCAAACAGGA